rnacentral:misc_RNA from 1 species
GAUGAAGAACGCAGCGAAAUGCGAUAAGUAAUGUGAAUUGCAGAAUUCAGUGAAUCAUCGAAUCUUUGAACGCACCUUGCACCCUUUGGCAUUCUGAAGGGUAGGCUCGUUUGAGUGUCAUUGUACUCUCACACUCCCGAUCUUUGCAUUGGGAGCAGUGGACUUGGGUUUGCUGCUUCACCGUCGCUUACCUCAAAUAGGUUAGUGCAACUCUUGGUUGGACAUAGUACGGCGUGAUAAGUGUUCUUCGCCGGUGCCUCGCAAAGAGGGUGGCCGAUCGGGAUGUUGUGCUCCAAACCGUCUUCGGACAAUCUCUGACGACUUGACCUCAAAUCGAGUAAGACUACCCGCUGAACUUAAGCAUAUCAAUAAGCGGAGGA